rnacentral:lncRNA from 1 species
UCCUCAGGCUCCGGGAGAGCUGGGGAGGCCUUCCCUGAGGCCGUGUACGAGGAGAUCGCUUACAGCCUGGCGUGGGAGAAGCAGCCGAGGUUCAGUCUCUCAGAUGUCCCUGUCCUGCCCGAAGGUUACCCAGCAGAUGGCUAUGAUGAUGCUGGGGAGGUUUCUGACCCUGGGGAGGAUCCUGUCCCUGGGCAGGGGGACUGGGAAGUGCCCAGGACACCAGAGGAAGGAGAUGGGCUGAGGCAUGCAGCCACAGGUGAGAGGGCAAUGCAGCACUGCCACUUCCUAGGUGCCAACCCCAGGCCUAGGAGAAUCCAUGCCAUAUUGAAAGCCUGACCAUCCAUGGAGUACCUGUCCUGGGAUAUUUUGUGGGGUCUGGGAGAAUGGGCCGAAUGUCUCAGGCUGGUGAGAAUGAGGAAGGUGAUAAACAGGCCCGAGGCGUACCCCACAGGCCC